UUCGAACCCCCUGCAGGAACCGCGCCGGGAGGGGGUGGGAUGAUGGUGCUACCUCUGCAGUUAAUACGAGUUGGGGACUGGGGGCACCCCAGUUGGGGACCGGAGUGCGGAGCGUUGUGCUGGGGAAAUCCAGGCCGGGUUUUGCCUGCCCCGGGAGGGAAGCAAGGAGCUAGAACGCGGGACAGGCGGAAGGGUGGGCCCUUCAGGGGCUAGAGGUGGCGAAGAGAGUCUGAAACCAAGCAAGGCCGCGACAGAGCAAAGGGGCUCUAACCCGGGGCGAACAGAGCUGGCACCCUGGGACCAGUCAGGUCUGUGGGACCCUUACCUAUGAGAAGGGCGAGCAAGCAAGGCAGAUGUGCUCGAGCAGAGACAGAGGUCUGAGUAUGUCUUGGGAAGAGGAGAGGAGGCAGACAGACUACGAGGAAGGGGCUUGAAGACAUCAGGACACACGGCAUCACAGGAACAUGGAAAGUGAGCCAGCAGCAGACAUCCCCAUCAGAGACAGCCAAACCAGCUGAGCAGGUGAGGCAAGAGACCCUAGGCAUAGCCAGAGGAAGGUGGCUGAGAAGAAAAGAGCUCUGAGAUGAAGCUGGGGAAUGACCCUUUCAAUGGACAACACAGAGGAAACUGGGGGAGUCCCUGGGUGUCAGCUUUAUGGAGGGCCACACCUGCUCCCACUCUCUUUGCCACUCCUCUCAGGGCUCAAUGUUCAGCUCCCCCCACCCAUGCUUGCUCCCCUGGGAUAUCUAUGUUCCGCCUCCUCCUUCCUCCCUCUUCCCAGCCCCACACCCCUCAGAGUCCUGGGAGAAAGCCCUGUCACCUGGAUGGACCGUGAUAAAGAUGAGCAACAGCAUCCGGGCCAUGUCGGAGGGCGUUCCAGUUGACAAGGGGACUUGAGUAGUGAGGUCUGGAGGAGGAACAACCCACCGCUUGUGACUAAGCCUUUGGUCACCAGAUGGGAGUGAGGAGCUUUCUAUGACACACAGGACUCACACAUCACUUGCCAAGGACCUCAAUUGCUUGGGACCUUGGGCAUGAAAUGCAUGCCUCCCUAAGAAGAGAAGCUGCUGCCGAUGGUGCUAACUGGGUCACUAGGAGGUGGGGCAGCAUGUGGGCAGGCUGCCUAAGUGUUUGAGAGGGAGGGUAGGGCUUAGAUGUCUGGUAACGCUAGGGUAGAUGAGUGAGACCAGGAUGUGGUUCCCCCACCUUUUGAGUUUCAAGAAGACAAGCCCUUUACCCAGAAGCCUCCAGGAACCCUCCUGGGAUCAGGGCUAACCUACUUUCCUUCCCUUGGCUCAACAAUGCCCAGGCCCACCCCAUCCAUUCCCUUCCCUCAAAUCUGGCCCUCCCCAGGAGAUUUCUAAAAAUUCGGUCAUUGUAGGGCUUAGCAGGAGUGAGCUGAUUGGUGAUGGUGAAGGAGGUUGCUAGGGGCUUGAUUCUGAAGCUGCAUUUGCAUAGCCAUCACCCUGUUUAACUUAGGCUGUGUCGACUUGUAAGGUCUGGCUGAAUGAUUGCAACUGUUGGAAAAGUUUGAACUACUUCAUAUUCAGAUCUCCAUUAAAGAAACAUAACUUUCA